GACGAACGCUGGCGGCGUGCUUAACACAUGCAAGUCGAACGGAAAGGCCUCUUUCGGGGGGUACUCGAGUGGCGAACAGGUGAGUAACACGUGAGUAACCUGCCCUUGACUUUGGGAUAACUUCAGGAAACUGGGGCUAAUACCUGAUAGGAGCUCCUGCUGCCUGGUGGGGGUUGGAAAGUUUCGGCGUUUGGGGAUGGACUCGCGGCUUAUCCGCUUGUUGGUGGGGUAGUGGCUUACCAAGGCUUUGACGGGUAGCCGGCCUGAGAGGGUGACCGGCCACAUUGGGACUGAGAUACGGCCCAGACUCCUACGGGAGGCAGCAGUGGGGAAUAUUGCACAAUGGGUGGAAGCCUGAUGCAGCAACGCCGUGUGCGGGAGGACGGCCUUCGGGUUGUAAACCGCUUUCGCUCAUGACGAAGCUUUGUGUGACGGUAGUGGGUAAAGAAGCACCGGCUAACUACGUG
rnacentral:rRNA from 1 species